UUUUUUUUUUCGAAGAAGAAGAAAGAUCUUAUAAGAAUUUUUCGACCGACCACCAAGGGAUAAUUAUUCAAAAAUCUCCACUUUUCUACCUUCUACAUAUUGGCUAAAAGAAAGAACACCUUUUCUCCGAGGCUCAAAUCAAGGUUCUAAGGAUAAAUUGACAAAAAGGGUAGGCUUGAAAGGCUCAAACGGUUCAAAGAAGGCCCAAAUCAUAUCCCAAAUCACUUAUUAUCAACACUUCGUAUCAUAAAUGUCCUAAGGUGAGAUUUAAAACCGAACAAAGCAUGAUUGAGCACAAAUAAAUUCCAAAUUUAAAAUGCAAAACAUUCAACCAAAGCAAAGCACAAGGUGUGAUUCCUAGCAAUAAUUCACUUCUACGUUCCGUUGAAUCGAAAGCUA
rnacentral:lncRNA from 1 species